GAUGAACGCUGGCGGCGUGCCUAAUACAUGCAAGUCGAGCGAAUGGAUUGAGAGCUUGCUCUUAUGAAGUUAGCGGCGGACGGGUGAGUAACACGUGGGUAACCUGCCCAUAAGACUGGGAUAACUCCGGGAAACCGGGGCUAAUACCGGAUAACAUUUUGAACCGCAUGGUUCGAAAUUGAAAGGCGGCUUCGGCUGUCACUUAUGGAUGGACCCGCGUCGCAUUAGCUAGUUGGUGAGGUAACGGCUCACCAAGGCAACGAUGCGUAGCCGACCUGAGAGGGUGAUCGGCCACCCUGGGACUGAGACACGGCCCAGACUCCUACGGGAGGCAGCAGUAGGGAAUCUUCCGCAAUGGACGAGAGUCUGACGGAGCAAAGCCGCGUGAGUGAUGAAGGCUUUCGGGUCGUAAAACUCUGUUGUUAGGGAAGAACAAGUGCUAGUUGAAUAAGCUGGCACCUUGACGGUACCUAACCAGAAAGCCACGGCUAACUACGUGCCAGCAGCCGCAGUAA
rnacentral:rRNA from 1 species